CAGAUUUGUUUUGUUCUGGAUUUUUUUUCCCCCAGAACUGGGAAGCUCUAAACCUGAUUUAAAGAGACAGGCUCCUGAGAAGGGAGGAUUCCUGGCCUUAGCAUGAAUUAUUCAGGCUGGAGAGGCUGACACUUGAUCCGCAGGCCAUUCGGGUAUCAGCAGAGCUGGUUGGAAUAGAGGCUCCCCACCUCCUCCCAAGAAUCAGUCUCUUUCUCCUGAAUUGGGUGCUUCCCGUCUAAAUUCUCCUGGAACCAAUUUCUCUCUGUCCAAGUUCCCCAAGGAAUCAAGUCUGCGAGCCAUUGGGGCUGAGGGAUCUCUGUUCUUUGGAGGAACAGCGCUCUCCAUCUUAGAUUUGCCAGUGUUCAGUAUGCAUUAAGUGUUCAAUAAAUGUGUGUCCA
rnacentral:lncRNA from 1 species